GGGUUGUGAGGUUAAGCGACUAAGCGUACACGGUGGAUGCCCUGGCAGUCAGAGGCGAUGAAGGACGUGCUAAUCUGCGAUAAGCGUCGGUAAGGUGAUAUGAACCGUUAUAACCGGCGAUUUCCGAAUGGGGAAACCCAGUGUGAUUCGUCACACUAUCAUUAACUGAAUCCAUAGGUUAAUGAGGCGAACCGGGGGAACUGAAACAUCUAAGUACCCCGAGGAAAAGAAAUCAACCGAGAUUCCCCCAGUAGCGGCGAGCGAACGGGGAGCAGCCCAGAGCCUGAAUCAGUGUGUGUGUUAGUGGAAGCGUCUGGAAAGGCGUGCGAUACAGGGUGACAGCCCCGUACACAAAAAUGCACAUACUGUGAGCUCGAUGAGUAGGGCGGGACACGUGGUAUCCUGUCUGAAUAUGGGGGGACCAUCCUCCAAGGCUAAAUACUCCUGACUGACCGAUAGUGAACCAGUACCGUGAGGGAAAGGCGAAAAGAACCCCGGCGAGGGGAGUGAAAAAGAACCUGAAACCGUGUACGUACAAGCAGUGGGAGCACAGAGCAAUCUGUGUGACUGCGUACCUUUUGUAUAAUGGGUCAGCGACUUAUAUUCUGUAGCAAGGUUAACCGAAUAGGGGAGCCGAAGGGAAACCGAGUCUUAACUGGGCGUUAAGUUGCAGGGUAUAGACCCGAAACCCGGUGAUCUAGCCAUGGGCAGGUUGAAGGUUGGGUAACACUAACUGGAGGACCGAACCGACUAAUGUUGAAAAAUUAGCGGAUGACUUGUGGCUGGGGGUGAAAGGCCAAUCAAACCGGGAGAUAGCUGGUUCUCCCCGAAAGCUAUUUAGGUAGCGCCUCGUGAAUUCAUCUCCGGGGGUAGAGCACUGUUUCGGCAAGGGGGUCAUCCCGACUUACCAACCCGAUGCAAACUGCGAAUACCGGAGAAUGUUAUCACGGGAGACACACGGCGGGUGCUAACGUCCGUCGUGAAGAGGGAAACAACCCAGACCGCCAGCUAAGGUCCCAAAGUCAUGGUUAAGUGGGAAACGAUGUGGGAAGGCCCAGACAGCCAGGAUGUUGGCUUAGAAGCAGCCAUCAUUUAAAGAAAGCGUAAUAGCUCACUGGUCGAGUCGGCCUGCGCGGAAGAUGUAACGGGGCUAAACCAUGCACCGAAGCUGCGGCAGCGACGCUUAUGCGUUGUUGGGUAGGGGAGCGUUCUGUAAGCCUGCGAAGGUGUGCUGUGAGGCAUGCUGGAGGUAUCAGAAGUGCGAAUGCUGACAUAAGUAACGAUAAAGCGGGUGAAAAGCCCGCUCGCCGGAAGACCAAGGGUUCCUGUCCAACGUUAAUCGGGGCAGGGUGAGUCGACCCCUAAGGCGAGGCCGAAAGGCGUAGUCGAUGGGAAACAGGUUAAUAUUCCUGUACUUGGUGUUACUGCGAAGGGGGGACGGAGAAGGCUAUGUUGGCCGGGCGACGGUUGUCCCGGUUUAAGCGUGUAGGCUGGUUUUCCAGGCAAAUCCGGAAAAUCAAGGCUGAGGCGUGAUGACGAGGCACUACGGUGCUGAAGCAACAAAUGCCCUGCUUCCAGGAAAAGCCUCUAAGCAUCAGGUAACAUCAAAUCGUACCCCAAACCGACACAGGUGGUCAGGUAGAGAAUACCAAGGCGCUUGAGAGAACUCGGGUGAAGGAACUAGGCAAAAUGGUGCCGUAACUUCGGGAGAAGGCACGCUGAUAUGUAGGUGAAGUCCCUCGCGGAUGGAGCUGAAAUCAGUCGAAGAUACCAGCUGGCUGCAACUGUUUAUUAAAAACACAGCACUGUGCAAACACGAAAGUGGACGUAUACGGUGUGACGCCUGCCCGGUGCCGGAAGGUUAAUUGAUGGGGUCAGCGCAAGCGAAGCUCUUGAUCGAAGCCCCGGUAAACGGCGGCCGUAACUAUAACGGUCCUAAGGUAGCGAAAUUCCUUGUCGGGUAAGUUCCGACCUGCACGAAUGGCGUAAUGAUGGCCAGGCUGUCUCCACCCGAGACUCAGUGAAAUUGAACUCGCUGUGAAGAUGCAGUGUACCCGCGGCAAGACGGAAAGACCCCGUGAACCUUUACUAUAGCUUGACACUGAACAUUGAGCCUUGAUGUGUAGGAUAGGUGGGAGGCUUUGAAGUGUGGACGCCAGUCUGCAUGGAGCCGACCUUGAAAUACCACCCUUUAAUGUUUGAUGUUCUAACGUUGACCCGUGAUCCGGGUUGCGGACAGUGUCUGGUGGGUAGUUUGACUGGGGCGGUCUCCUCCUAAAGAGUAACGGAGGAGCACGAAGGUUGGCUAAUCCUGGUCGGACAUCAGGAGGUUAGUGCAAUGGCAUAAGCCAGCUUGACUGCGAGCGUGACGGCGCGAGCAGGUGCGAAAGCAGGUCAUAGUGAUCCGGUGGUUCUGAAUGGAAGGGCCAUCGCUCAACGGAUAAAAGGUACUCCGGGGAUAACAGGCUGAUACCGCCCAAGAGUUCAUAUCGACGGCGGUGUUUGGCACCUCGAUGUCGGCUCAUCACAUCCUGGGGCUGAAGUAGGUCCCAAGGGUAUGGCUGUUCGCCAUUUAAAGUGGUACGCGAGCUGGGUUUAGAACGUCGUGAGACAGUUCGGUCCCUAUCUGCCGUGGGCGCUGGAGAACUGAGGGGGGCUGCUCCUAGUACGAGAGGACCGGAGUGGACGCAUCACUGGUGUUCGGGUUGUCAUGCCAAUGGCACUGCCCGGUAGCUAAAUGCGGAAGAGAUAAGUGCUGAAAGCAUCUAAGCACGAAACUUGCCCCGAGAUGAGUUCUCCCUGACUCCUUGAGAGUCCUGAAGGAACGUUGAAGACGACGACGUUGAUAGGCCGGGUGUGUAAGCGCAGCGAUGCGUUGAGCUAACCGGUACUAAUGAACCGUGAGGCUUAACCUUACAACGCCGAAGCUGUU
rnacentral:rRNA from 1 species